GACGUAGGGUGCGAGCGUUGUCCGGAUUUAUUGGGCGUAAAGAGCUCGUAGGCGGCUUGUUACGUCGGCUGUGAAAACCCGGAGCUCAACUCCGGGCCUGCAGUCGAUACGGGCGGACUUGAGUGUUGCAGGGGAGACUGGAAUUCCUGGUGUAGCGGUGAAAUGCGCAGAUAUCAGGAGGAACACCGGUGGCGAAGGCGGGUCUCUGGGCAACUACUGACGCUGAGGAGCGAAAGCGUGGGGAGCGAACAGG
rnacentral:rRNA from 1 species